GGGGAUUUAGCUCAGUGGUAGAGCCCUUGCCUAGCAAGCACAAGGCCCUGGGUUCGGUCCCCAGCUCCA
rnacentral:tRNA from 1 species